GCAUUUGUUUAAAGUAGAUUACAGCGACACCUUCGGUCUGAACCGUUGGUGUUUUUAAGGGACAAAGACUCUGUUUCCCAUGAGCACUAGCUCCUACUGUCAUAAGGGCAGAACUCUGGCCAAGGUGGCACUAACUUUGAA